CCCUUAGAUGCCCUGGGCCGCACGCGCGUUACACUGAUGCAUUCAACGAGCCUAUAACCUUGGCCGAGAGGCCUGGGCAAUCUUGUUAACGUGCAUCGUGAUAGGGAUAGAUUAUUGAAAUUAUUAAUCUUGAACGAGGAAUUCCUAGUAAACGCAGAUCAUCAAUCUGCAUUGAUUACGUCCCUGCCCUUUGUACACACCGCCCGUCGCACCUACCGAUUGGAUGGUCCGGUGAAGCCUCGGGAUUGUGGUUCUUGCCGCUUUAUUGUGGCGUGACCGCGAGAACUUGUCUAAACCUUAUCAUCUAGAGGAAGGUGAAGUCGUAACA
rnacentral:rRNA from 1 species